GAUGAACGCUGGCGGCGUGCCUAAUACAUGCAAGUCGGACGAAGGAUGCUUUGCUUGCAUCGCAUCCUUAGUGGCGAACGGGUGAGUAACGCGUUGGUGACCUGCCCCAAAGCGAGGGAUAGCAACUGGAAACGGUUGGUAAUACCUCAUGUGAUCCUACGGAUUAGAGGCCGUUUGAUUAAAGGAGUAAUCCACUUUGGGAGGGGCCUGCGUCCCAUCAGCUAGUUGGUAAGGUAAUGGCUUACCAAGGCGAUGACGGGUAGGGGACCUGAGAGGGUGACCCCCCACACUGGCACUGAAACACGGGCCAGACACCUACGGGUGGCUG
rnacentral:rRNA from 1 species